AUCUAUAGAAGUGUUUUCCGCGAUAGACCUUGCACAAGUCUCCUGGAACGGAGCGUCAUAGAGGGUGAGAAUCCCGUAUAUGGCAAGGACUGCUAUUGCUUUUGUGAUACACUCUCAACGAGUCGAGUUGUUUGGGAAUGCAGCUCAAAGUGGGUGGUAAAUUCCAUCUAAAGCUAAAUAUUGGCGAGAGACCGAUAGCGAACAAGUACCGUGAGGGAAAGAUGAAAAGCACUUUGGAAAGAGAGUGAAACAGUACGUGAAAUUGUUGAAAGGGAAACGCUUGAAGUCAGUCGCGUCUCUGGGGAUUCAGCCUUGCUUCUGCUCGGUGUACUUCCUUUUGGACGGGUCAACAUCAGUUUUGGACGGGGGAAAAAGGCUCGAGGAAUGUGACUCUGUUCGCGGAGUGUUAUAGCCUCUUGUUGUAUACCUCGACUGGGACUGAGGAUCGCAGCGUACCUUUAUGGCCGGGGUUUUACCUACGACCGCGCUUAGGAUGUUGGCAUAAUGGCUUUAAGCGACCCGUCUUGAAACACGGACCAAGGAGUCUAACAUGUGUGCGAGUGUUUGGGUGUUAAACCCGAGCGCAUAAUGAAAGUGAAAGUUGGGAUCACCUCGAGUGUGCACCGACGCCCGGAGCUGAUCUUCUGUGACGCAUCUGCGGUAGAGCAUAUAUGUUGGGACCCGAAAGAUGGUGAACUAUGCCUGAAUAGGGUGAAGCCAGAGGAAACUCUGGUGGAGGCUCGUAGC
rnacentral:rRNA from 1 species